rnacentral:lncRNA from 10 species
GGUGGACUGACAGCUUUUAGCCCAACCUCCAAUGGCAGCCCACAUUCACCAGGUUGAUGCUGGUCUAUAAAGGCCUGGCACUCUUGUCUCAAUUCACAACUCUGAAGGGUUAUCCUAUCUUUAGAGCUCCCUGUGGGAUUGGCUGAGGCCCUUGUUGCUACAACAUUACAGUUUAAUUCCUACUCCUGACUAAUCCUAUUUUCUUUUCUCUUCACAGGUAUUGAUCUAAGACCACUCCUCAAUAAACUUUCUACAGGCACAUUUCCAUCUCAAAGUCUUUUCUAGGGACACAGCCUAAGACCACUGGUUCGAUAUGUGGACUCAAGAGGCAAAUUCUAAAAUAAGACUUUUGGAGCUGGAUCACGUCACCAUUGGCAAUGAGGAUUCCAUCACUGGAGGCAGAGGAACGGCUGAGGAUCAUGCCCAGGAUUUGAUUUCAAAGACAUCAGUGCUCCAGAGAAAAUUGAAUUCUCAAUCUUGGCAAGUUUGAGGGUUCACUAAUUGGAAAGUACUGAGACCCUAAAACAUAGGAUGAGGACUUUGGUUUGAGACAAUCAAGAAUCUUGAAUCUCAGGUCCUCCUAAAUCCUCAGGGUCCGCAAAGGUGGCCCACUCCUCCCUGUUAAAGACUAGUACUCUCUAAUGACUCAGGUGAAGAGGCUCUGUCUUGCAAAGCAAUAUGUACAUCCUUCAAGAUCUAUUCUCAUUCCCUCUCUUCUGGCCACAAGAACAAUAACUCACGUUGUCACAAUAUAGUCUGGUAGAGGAAGUGCUGAGCCUACUAAUAUAGGAAUAGAAUUCUAUCUCAAAUGAGCCGCAGGAACUAGCCAACAUGUACUGGCAGGAGGGAUGAGAGUGGGUAUGAGAUUGGAUCUUUACAGUGAUGGACCAAGAAGAAUUGAAAGUAAAGUUAAAUAAAGAGAGGUAGGCCAGGUGUGGUGGCUCAUGCCUAUAAUCCCAGCACUUUGGGAGGCCAAGGUGAGCAGAUUACUUGAGGCCAGAAGUUCAAGACCAGCCUGGCCAACAUGGCAAAAGCCUGUCUCUACUAAAAUUACAAAAAUUAGCCUGGCGUGGCAGUACACACCUGUAAUCCCAGCUCCUCAGGAGGAUGAAGCAAGGGAAUUGCUUGAACCCAGGAGGCGGAGGUUGCAGUGAGCCAAGAGCAUGCAUUUCGGCCUGCUCACAGAGCAAGGCUCUGUCUCAAAAAAAUAAUAAAUAAGGAGAGGUUGACAAUAUGGGAGCACUCUCCAAUGAUAUAAUAUUUAACACCCUAUAAAGGACUUCUGUAAAUGGUGAUAUUAUGCUGCAAGGAUAUUUUCAGACAGUGUGGAGAAAGCAUUUGUCCACAGAAGUGAAAUAGAAAUACUAGAACUGACAUGGCAGACAGCGGGAAAAGGAAUCAAAAGACCCUUAGAAGCUGGCAUGCUAAAAUGGACAUAUUAUGUAAGUCUGAAAAACCCAAUAGAGGAGUAUGUUGAAGGACACUCUGUCUACAAAAAUAAUAAAUAAGGAGUUCUAAGAGAGGCAUCAGCAUCAUUAAAUUCAUUGGUUUCUAUCUCCCAGAGGCCAGGGUUGACAGCUAUUACAGAGCUGAGCUCUUUCAUAAGAAUUGACAUCAUAGGCUCCUAGACUAAUAGAGGCCAGAUGGGGGUACUUACCGAUGAGAAGCAAGAUGAGCACAAAUAUUGUAAUAAUCAGUAAGGUUGAGGGAUUAACCAGAGAGACCUGACCUGCAAAGAGAGAGACCUAUGGAGAUAAUUAAAAGAACAUAGCAUAACUAGGAGCAAAACAGAUGGGUAGCCAGCAAGGUAUUGCUCAGCCUAUAAAAUCUAAACAAACCAAGACAGGAUGAUCAGGAGCUUGAGGGCAGUUGCUACAAAAUAAAGUCACAGUGACCUCCUGCUCAAUUUUCAGACGUGAGCUACUUUUCAGACCCAGAACCCUUUUCAGACUGAAGAGAAACUGGAGAAACAAUCCUGAAACACCACAGCAAAAGUACACAAUGAUAGUUCCCUCAUCUUCCCAAAAGGAUCUAUGGCCAUUUACUCAGAUGACAGAGAACUGUUAACAUAUAUACUAGAAACCCAAAGUAUUAUCAUGGCACCCAUGACAGUGUGGUAAUAUAUGGAAUCCAGAAAAUAAGUGGAGUCCUAGCCCAGAUUUGCUUCACAGUGGAUCCACUAGGUCCAUGGACACACCACUGGUCAUUCCCUAAAUGUACAAUGGAAACAGACAUACAUGGAAUUUUUCAGAACUCUCACAUUUGUAUCUUGGCCUAUGAUAUAAGAGCUGUUAUAGUGGGUAUAUUAAUUUUCUAGGGAUACUGUAACAAAGUAUCACAAAUUGAGUAGCUAAAUAAGAGAAAUUUAUUGUCUCACAGUUCUGGAGCCCAGAAGUCUGAAAUAAUAUCAACAGGAUUGGUUCCUUCUGAGGAACAUGAGGGAAGAAUCUGUUCCAAGCCUUCCUCCUUGGCCUGUAGUUGGCCAUUUUUUUCCCUGUCGCUUCACAUCAUCUUCCUUCUAUGUAUGUCUGUCUCCAAAUUUUCCCUUCUUAUAAGGACACCAGUCAUAGUGGAUUAUGAGUCUACUCUAUUCUUAACUGAUUGUAUCUGAACAACACUCUUUCCAAAUAAGAGUCAACAAAGGGGCCAGGAGCCAAGAAAUGCAAGCAACUUCUAGAAAAGAAAAAGACAAGGAAAUGGAUACUUCCCUAGAGGAUCCAAAAGGAACGCUUUGAUUUUAGCCCAAUGAAAGUGAUUUCAGACAAUAGAGUUGUCUGCAUAAGUUCAAUAAUGGGUUUUUUAAAAACAGUUGGAGACAUUAUUUAUUUUACCAAGGCUGAAACUAAAAUAGCCUCUUUUUAGGUAAAGUUGCAGCAAAACUAACUCAAAAGGAGUCUUUAUAGCCAAUCAAUUCUUGCUGCAUUUUAUGCAGACAAUCAGGCAAGCAUAAUAAGCCUAAAACUCCCCUUGUACACAAGUUGGCCCUGCUAUAAUUUUCUCUUUAAUAAAAAAAGGCAGCUAAAUAAAUUGUUUCAAGGGUAAAGUGUAACACUUAAUACUAGAUUUCGGUCUUUACUUUUUGAGUACAGAUUAAAUCAUUAUUUCUUGGCUACAAUAAUCCUCUAGAAAGUACCAGAUUAUAAUUUUUCUUCAUAUUUUUAGUUGAUGCCCUAAUGGAAUAGGUUCCUUUUCCAGACUCCCGACCUCCAGAACUGUAAGAUAAUAAAUUAGUGUUCUUUUAAGACAUCAAAUAUGUGGCAAUUUGUUACAGCAGCAAUAAGAAGUCGAUACAGGAAGACAGAAUUCUUAAGAGGUGAAUGCAGUAAACUAGCGAUUCUCAACUAGGACUCUGCCUUCCAGUCACUGAUUCACAAAAUCAGAUGUGGGAGCAGGUAUUUUAAAAAUGUUCCUCAGGUGAAUCCAAUAUUCACUCACAGUUGAAUGAAAGCUUUCAGUAGGUAAAUGAGAGAUCAGAAUUCAAAAUUUCAUGCAAGAAAUAGGCCUUCUAAGCAAAAACUACAUUUCAUUACAUCCUGGUAAGUAUUUAUAAUUUUCUCAAGUUAUUAAAUCCCCCUACUAACUCAAACAUUGUAACUAAAUAGGUUGGGUACAAAGUCAUAAUUGCCAAAAGUACAAUUUUGUGAAUAGGUUUUUACCUUCUCACAAACUUACCACUUCAUAAAUUACAGAUAGAGGCACUUUGCCAAUAUUCUUUAAGACUUUUCAGCAUUUUACCUUCUGUACAUGCCUAAAACUGUCACCAAAUCUUUUUUGUAUGUUUUUUGUUUGAUAUUUAAUUAAGAAAACCAAAAUCUCCAUCUGCAUAGGUCCCUCUACACUCUAAUUUUGUAUAUCUCAAAAUCCUUAGGAAUCAUCUGUCAUUUCCGUAAUGGCUCACUUGCCUGUUUGUAUCCACUCAUCAAAUAUUUUUGAGUAUUUGGCACACAUAAGACUCCCCUUGCACAUCCUUUGUACUUGUGGGGAUACACAGACAAAUAAGAGAUAGUCCCUACCAUCAAGAAACUAUUUCAUCUGUGCUUCAUUAGCAAUGUGUAAAUACCACUAUAACUGUGACUUUUACAUCAGCUUAUAAUGUCUAUGCCUAUUUCUCUCCCAAGACGGCAAGCUCUUGAGGGCAAAAACCAGAUCAUAUUCAUCUUUGUACCUGUAGAACUUGAUAAAUACGUGCUUCUGUGUGUGCCUGAUUGACUGAAUCAACCUGGAUGGGGAAUAAAGUAAACACAAAAAAAAUUCACUCUGCAAAUCAAAUUUUUAAGAUGAUAAUAUGAAAAAAGUCACAUUAUAUUCAGAGGAUUUUACCAGAUGCAGACGACAGAUAUGGCAAGGUCAAGGCCACAUGGUCACCAAGCAUUUCUUUCUCCUCCUGAGCAUAAAGGAAGACAAUAUUUUUUAGACCCCUCACAUCUAGAUGGAGCCAAGGGAGUCCACGUGUGAUCACAUGAUGAGUUACAGCCUAUGGCACAUACGUCAAAAGAGCAUACGCCACUUCCAGGCCUGGCCACUAAAGUCCCCCUUUAGAUUUUAGAUCUGCUCACUCUUGCUUUCUUGGCAUCAAGUCCAGGGGAAGACAUUCUCUUUCCAGCCUCAGAAUUGAGUUUAUUUUCAGAGGACAUGAUUAACAUGUACAGCUCUAAAAUAAUCACAGUGUGCAAGUCACAAACUUUCAGCUGGAAGAAUAUAGCAGCCCCAUUAUAUCCGUUACCUUUUGCUGCAGCAGUGCUGCAUAACCCAAAAUCACAGAAGUUCAAUGGCCUACGGUGAUAAGCAUUUAUUGCUCACAUGCCUAAGUCUGCUGAGAUUUUGCUAGGAAGGCUCUGGUUCUUCUCAUUGCCUUCUCACGGCGUGGCAGGAACACAAAAGAAUAAUCAGUAACAUGCAAAGCUUCUUGAGGACUUGGUUCACUUUUGCCUAACUCUAUUGGUCAAAGAAAAUCAAAUGUGUUGGAGAAAUAAAUUCCAACUUUAUGGGAGGAACUCUGAAGGUAUAUACUAAAGAGUGUGGCACAGAGAAGGGUAAAGAACUGCAACUGUUGAUGUAGUCUACCACAUCCAUGGGUAGAGUGGGAAGAGAAUGUUUCUCCAAGGAAAAAGUGGCUGCAGUUAAUAGAAAAAGUGGAAAUAGGCUCUGUUUAGUAAGGCAACAGAUGGCCACUUCUGACUGACAGACUUCAGGGAAAAGCAGGGUAUCUGAAAAUAGAUGCUAUAUUACUUUCUCAGAGCUACUAUAACAAAUUACCAUAAACUGGGGGUGGCUUAAAACAAUAGAAAUGUAUUCGGUCACAGGUUGAGAGGCCAGAAAUCUGAAAUCAAAAUGUCAACAGGGCAAUGAUUCCUCCACAUUUUGCCUCUUUCAGCUUCUGAUUAUAACAAAUUACCAUAAACUAGGUGGCUUAAAACAAUAGAAAUUUAUUCUGUCACAGGUUGAGAGGCCAGAGAUCUGAAAUCAAAGUGUCAGCAGGGCAAUGAUUCCUCCACAUUUUGCCUCUUCUAGCUUCUGGUGGCCCCAGGCACUCCUUGGCUUGGGUAUUGAAAGAAAAGCUUGGAAAUAUAAUGUCCCCCACCACCCAAUAUGGUAUGGCUUUGUGUCCCCACCAAAAUCUUAUCUCAAAUUGUAAUCCCCACAUGUUGAGGGAGGGACCUGGUGGGAGAUGAUUGGAUCAUUGAGGGUGGUUUCCCCCAUGCUGUUCUCGUGAGAGUAAGGAAGUUCUCACAAGAUCUGAUGGUUUUAAAAGUGGCAGUUUUUCCUCCACUCUUACUUCUCUCCCUCCUGCCGCCAUGUAAGACGUGCCUUGCUUCCCCUUCACGUUCCACCAUGAUUGUAAGUUUCCUGAGGCCUCCCCAGCCAUGUGGAACAGUGAGUCAAUUAAACCUCUUUCCUUUAUAAAUUACCCAGUCUCAGGUAUUUUUUUAUAGCAGUGUGAAAAUGGACUAAUGCAACCCCCCAAACUGGGAAGGAGCCUAGAGACUAUAGAAUGACUUGGGCAAAUCCAACUUGAUGAGUAGGUGAGUUUAUUAGGACUUAACAUACAGGGCAUUCCUAGGUGGUAGCAGGACAACUCUGGAGAUUUGCCCCACACACCCCCUUACCCCACCCAUCUUCAAGCUGCUUUUAAGCUAAUUUUCUGGCUUUUCUUCUCUGUGUGUGAUGAGUGUUUUUCUUGGUAUGUCCCCAGGUACUCUCCCAAAUGUUUGUGUUCUCAGGGAACACAGCACAUGGUGUUCCUUGGCUGAGCACCAUGACCUUGGCUCACCACCCAGUCUUCAGGGCUCAAGCAGUGGACAUACACCCUUAAGUAACCUGGUGGAGAACCCGUCGCAUUACACUUGGGGUUACAGACUCCAGUGUCUGUUACCAUCUUCACAUGGCUUUCUUCUCUGUGAUUCUCCUCUUCUCUUCCUGUACAGACACUUUUUUAUUCGAUUUAGCAUCUACCUGGUUAAUCCAGGGUAAGAUCUUUAACUUAAUUUCAUCUGUGAGACUCUUUUCCCAAAUAAGGUCACAUUUAUAGGCACCAGGGUUAAGACUUGGACAUAUUUUUGGGGGGCCACAAUUCAACACGCCAUAAAUGCUAUUAUAAAAAGUCAAUAAAGGUAAAAGAAAAACUAACACAGAGUUUCUUUCUGGUAGUGGGAAUGGACAGAAAUGAUGUCUGAAAUAUGUUAGAAGCAGAAUCACUGGCAUUUGGUGACUUCAUGCAGAAGUGAGAGAAAUUGGGCCAAGAAUUCAAGCCUAAGUGGCAUAAAGAAGAGUAGUACAAUAACACUAACAGCUUAGGGAAGUUGCAGGGAAAACGGAGUAAGGGAAAUGGUAAGUUGGCUUGAAUAUAGUGUAGAUUGGUGAAGAUGAAAAAAAAUUGAAGUGGAAAGGAGACAAAUUUAUGAUGAUCAUCUAGCUGAUCCUAAAGUAUCAAAAACUUGAUUUUGAAUUCAGAAUUUUCAGAAGUCAUAUUUUGAAUUUCAUCUUGGGUCUGUAUAGCCAACUGUUUAUCAUACACAUCACUUUUAUUCCAGGUAAAUGGCUCUUGAAAGGACAGUUUCUAGAAAAAUCCUUAGCCAGGUAAAUGGCUCUUAAGAGUUUCUAGAAAAAUCCUUAGUAUUUUGUUUCUAUUAGUAGGAACAAUUAUGCUCCCCCAGUACCAUAAUUACCUCAAAGUGUUCAAUAUCAUGUAAUGUCUUUGGGAUAACAGUAAGAAAAUAGUAAGUUAAAUUCUGGGUUCAUAUCAUGUUUAUUUUGUAAGAGUCCAAUUUCUUUUAAAUGAGAAAUUAGAGUAUAGAGUCUACUGAGAAUCUCUACUAACUAGAAUAUUUUAUUAACCAGAACAUCCCUAUCUCAUGACCAUCAAGAUAAGUGACAAUCUGAUACUGCCUUUCUAAAGGUAGAUGCCUUUAGUUAUGGACAGCCUCCUGCAUUUCACAGACAGGACUCUGUGUAGUUACUUGCAUCACAGAUUUUCUUUUAUCUCUUCUACAACCUCAAUUAUAGCCUGUUCAUUUUAUUUCUGCCCUCAAAACAGUGGAGUCAAGUUGCUUCUAGAGAACUUACCAGCACAACUAAUCCAGAGAGAUUUAAAAAAACACAGGCUCCUCACUGUGGGAUGCACAAACAAGCUGAGACACUUACUAGCUAUCUGAUCUUAAGGGAAACCACUUAUUGUUUCUGUGCCUCAAUUUCUGCCCUUCAUCUCUCACCAGAUGUGUAUACCAAACCCAGAUGUCUUGCUAAUUAGCAAAGUAAACAUCAGAAAUAUAUUUUCAUUGGUAAAAUUAGUGACUUGUUCAAUAAGUUAAUCAUCAAUCAGAUCUCACUGGAAUAAUAAGUGGUAUUCAAGAUAUACGAUUAAACUCAAAUAUUUCAGAAAUGCAUCCCAUGCUUGGCACCUCAAGCUUGAUCCUCAAAGAAUCCAGUGUCCAUCCAUUGGAUUUCCGAUGCUAACUAUAAGAGUAAUAGAAUCUUGCCUCUGGAAUAUUGUUGAGCCAGCUUGAAGUCAUUAGAGCACUAAAGAGGACAGAGAGCUAGGUUUUUAUCUUAUUCUAUGAACUGUUGUAUACUUGCUUACAAAUACAUGUUUAAUACAUGCCUAUAUAAGUGGCAGAAUUUGGUCUGAUAUUUUUAUUAUAACCUAUCAUCAACUCAACGUGUGGGGAAACCGACAACCCCACUGAUCUUAAGCUUUUCCACAGUUAGUGCUAUUUGCCAAAAAGAUAAGAAUCUCAGGGUUGUAUGUGGUCAAAUAAGUUCCCUUCAUAACACUCAUUACUUUGAGAAAAACACUUGUUUGAAUUAAAUAAACAUAAUUAAUUCCUACUUUCAUAAAUCCUAAUGUAAGAGACCAUGUAUAGUACUCCCGAAUAAUAACAAUUUUGAAUGAAGAGCUAAUAUUUGCUGCUAUAUUAUUAAGAGACUUUACUUGCCAGCAAUGUAAAUAUAUUGUGAUCAAAGAUUAGUAUAAACAAGUAAUAUAAAGUAUCUUGGCUUUUAAGAGCUAAGUAAAGAAUGAAGAUGUCAGAAUUCACCCCUUGACUGCAUUCCUAUUCAAAUUCGAAAAUCUGGGGUCACAAGAAUGAGGCAUGAAUUUAAUAAAACAAUUAGUUUUUCACCACUAACCCCAGGGACCAGGAAAAUUAUCCUCUGUAGUAGUAAGAAAUUCAAAGGUAUAGUUAAGAAAUAUAAACCUUAUUUUUCUCCACUGUAAUUCAAUUAUCAAACUCUAAGGAUGUUUCUAGUAUAGCUCUAAUUUUGCAAUAGUGCACUAGGAGAAAGCCAAUCUGUAAAGCAAGUUUCUAUGUCAUUGGAACAGAUCAAGGUCCAAAGUGUCUCUCUCUCUCUCUUUCUCUCUAAUGUUCUUGUUUAAUGGAAUGCACUUUCAAAUGUAAUUUAUGCCUUGCUUUAUGGAUCACAAAGAUAUUUUGUUAAAUAUGCCAGAUGAUAAAUACUUACAAAUUGUUUAUCAACUCUUAUACCAUCACCCCAAGAAGAAAAUGAGCUAAGAUUUUCUUUAGCAGCAAAGGUGAUUAUCUCAUCCAGAAGUAGCUGGGUGAAAAUUCACAAAGCAAAUGUUAUUGACUGCCUAUCAGUCUCUGAGUAUGAAAACUAUUUCCCUCUGAGUAAUCAAAGAAAAUCCCUGAGAUUUCUUGCUGCUCUUUUCUGUCUUCCAGAUAGGCCUAGUGGUGGGGGUUGGGAGGAGGUGGGAUUUGCCCUCAAUCUGUAGACUCCACCCAAUCUGAGGCAUGGAUUGAGGCAACCAGCCAGCAGAGUCCAGGAAGCUGGCAUAACCAGGCCUAACCAGGAAGGAUGCAGUGUCUCUUCUGGCUUCUGCAAUCUUUGGAUCUGACCUCUUUUAUGAAGUUUGCCCUGGGAUGGCAGGACUAACCCUCGCAUCACAGCAGGAGCUCCCAAGAGAUAUUUUUUACCAAUCCUUCUCUUUUCAUGCUCGUACCCAGUACCAAAGUCUCUCAUGUUUUCUUUCCUUCUUUUGCUCUUAAGAAUCCCAAAAUCCCUGGGGCCAGGAAGGCCUUGGGCUUGGAUCUUCAGGCAGAAGUGGGCUGUUUUCACAAUAACCUGUCACAAAACAAUGAAGUCUUUCUCACCCACUCA